rnacentral:rRNA from 1 species
UACGGAGGGGGCGAGCGUUAUUCGGAAUUAUUGGGCGUAAAGGGCGCGUAGGCGGCUCUUUAAGUCAAAGGUGAAAUCCCUCGGCUCAACUGAGGAACUGCCUUUGAAACUGAGGAGCUUGAGUCCGGGAGAGGUGAGUGGAACUGCGAGUGUAGAGGUGAAAUUCGUAGAUAUUCGCAAGAACACCAGUGGCGAAGGCGGCUCACUGGCCCGGUACUGACGCUGAGGUGCGAAAGCGUGGGGAGCAAACAGG